GCUAGGUCACAUGCUCAGUGUGGUAAAAUAGAAAGUAUAAUCAGCGAUUCAUUCUUCUUCAGAAAGGCGUUGGUGCAGGAGACAUUUCGCUGAAGCAAAUUUAUAUUACCUUGGGAAAGGCAUCAUUUUUCGAUAAAAUCAUAUCGAGAUGGAAAAAAUUGUGAUCUUUGCACUCGUUAUCCUGUCGUGUGUUACACUUUCUUCAGGUAGUGACCAUUCCACGUUGUCAAGUCCAACUGCA